GAUGAACGCUGGCGGCGUGCUUAACACAUGCAAGUCGAACGAAGAGCUUUAGUUUUUUUCCUUCGGGCGUGAGUAUUUUGUGAGUGAGUGACGGGCGGGUGAGUAACGUGUGGGUAAGCUGCCUUGUAGAGAGGGGGGACAGUAGGAAACGGCUGCUAAUGCCGCAUAAGGGCACUGCGUCACAUUCUGCGGUGUGGAAAACUCUGGUGGUAUAAGAUGGACCCGCGUUGGUUUAGCCAGUUGGUGAGGUAAAGGCCCACCAAGGCGAGGAGCCAUAGCCGAGAUGAGAGGGUGACCGGCCACAUUGGGGCUAAGACACAGCCCACACUCCUACGCAAGGGAGGAGAGGGGAACAGUGCACAAUGGGGGAAGGCCUGAUGCAGCGACGCCGCGUGAGCGAAGAUGUAUGUCGGUAUGUAAUGUUCUAUCAGCAGGGAAGAUAAUGACGGUACCUGAUUAAGAAGCACCGGCUAAAUACGUG
rnacentral:rRNA from 1 species